rnacentral:rRNA from 1 species
CUUUUAUGGAGAGUUUGAUCCUGGCUCAGGACGAACGCUGGCGGCGUGCCUAAUACAUGCAAGUCGAGCGGAGCUGAUGAGGUGCUUGCACCUCAGAUGCUUAGCGGCGGACGGGUGAGUAACACGUAGGUAACCUGCCCAUAAGACUGGGAUAACCCACGGAAACGUGAGCUAAUACCAGAUAGGCAUCUUC